rnacentral:rRNA from 1 species
UACGGAGGGUGCGAGCGUUGUCCGGAAUCACUGGGCGUAAAGGGCGCGUAGGCGGCAGGCCAAGCGUGCGGUGAAAGCUCGGGGCUCAACCCCGAGUCGGCCGUGCGAACUGGGCUCACUGGAGCAUAGUAGAGGCAGGUGGAAUUCCGGGUGUAGCGGUGGGAUGCGUAGAGAUCCGGAAGAACACCGGUGGCGAAGGCGGCCUGCUGGGCUAUGGCUGACACUGAGGCGCGACAGCGUGGGGAGCAAACAGG